UAGUCGGUUGGAUCUUGCGUCCUUAAAGAGUCGGUGGCUUUCUUUUCGCGCGCGUAUGCCUUUACGGGUGUGCGUGUGAGUGGGGAAGUCAUCGCUCCAAGUCCACCGCUUACUGGUUAUUUUGCGUAUGGGUGCUUCGUUGUUUGUGCGUGAGCGCGCUCUGUCUCUCGCGGGGUCUCUUUCUCGUUUGCUGGGAUUCGUCUUAGUACGCGGGUGGGGGCUUUGCUUGAGUAUUGCGUGUUUGCGUAUACGUGGCGUUGUAUUUGUGCGUGAAGGUCAGUAAAACUCUUCUUAGAGGGAUUCACGGUUCUGAAGCCGUAAGAAACUGAGAGCAAUAACAGGUCUGUGAUGCCCUUAGAUGUUCUGGGCCGCACGCGCGCUACAAUGCCGUGCACAGCAUGUGUUUUUCCUUCUCCGAGAGGAGUGGGUAACCAUCUGAAAGCACUGACAAUUAAUGAUAAUAGCGUACUCACGUACGUCUUCCAUCGCCGGCUUGCUUGGGCCUGGGGCUUGCAAUUCUUUCCCACAAACGAGGAAUGCCUAGUAGCGGCGGGUCACUGAGCCUGCCUUGACUCAGUCCCUGCCCUUUGUACACACCGCCCGUCGCUACUACCGAUUGGGUGUACCAGUGAGAUCCUUGGACUGGCGAACCUUGUAAAGCGUGCAUUUAUGUACGAAUGAGCAAGCGUGACCCGACGGAAAAGAGGCUCGAAC
rnacentral:rRNA from 1 species